AGCAAAUGUGCCACGUCAAGACUGGAAAUCACAGCCCUUGAGUGUGUCUCAGUCAGCGCAGCAGAAUUCAGGGGGGAAAGCUGAAUGCAACCCCUGGUGCAGGAAGGGAGGCUUUUCCUGAGGACCGGGAGAGGAUUUUAAGUACAUAGAAGGAAGCUUCUGGAGAUCCUGCUCCGUCGCCCCAGUGUUCAGACUACCUGUUCAGGACAAUGCCGUUGUACAGUAGUCUGCACAUUGGUUAGACUGGGCAAGGGAGAGCAACGCCAUGGACCGCUGGGGACAAAAUGGGCUGUUUCCAAGGAGAAGACAUUUGUUUGCUCCUUUUUUGAAUCUCAUAUCCAGUGUUUUUCUUCACAGGUUUUGCACACUAGGGACCAAGAAGCCCUCGGGGACACUGCUGAGAAAAGACUGCCGAAGGGAAGACCAGCGGGUAAGGCCUUCUUGACUGCUCACCUGGUCUGUGACCAAGGGAACCUAGGUGGGGAGCCCAUGAUUUGUGUUAACAUGCAAGGGAAACAGAGGUACAUGUGUGAUGGGUAGAGAUGUAUUUAAUUUUAAAAGAGCAAAAGUGUGUGGUAUAUAGCGAUUUACUGUUUUUUUUUUUUUUAUUUCUGAAGAUUGAUAAUUCAAGUGUUUUCUUAAAGGUUUUCCCACUUCAAAAUGAAAUAUGAAAAAACUCAUUCCAGACACUUAAGAAUAGUUUAAUGAGGCUACUUUUGAAUUGUUUAAUAAUAAUUCAAAGAUUUAAAAACUUAUAUGGAUGAAGGCUGUAUGUAUAACUUUUAACAUCCCAGGACUGAAGUCAUUUUUCCCCAAAGUAAAGAAUACUUGCUGGUUUUUAAAUGCUAUAUGGAUAGUGCUUUUCUGAAGAUUUCCUUCUGUAAUAUAAACAACAGGAAUAAUAGUACCUAACAAUAAAAGAAGAACCUGCCAAGUCUUGCCUACCAGACAAUGCAGAUGGGAUUUGCCCAGAGAAGAGCACCGACCCACAACUUAUUGAGUCAGCAACUGAGUAAAUCAGGGAAUAAAAACCUCUAUCUUUAGAUACCCCUGUAAAUAUCUGUUUUACAUUUUUUUUAAAUCAAAGAGUGGUUAAUAAUUGCUGCUCAGCUGAGCCCUCUUGCCUAUAGCUUACAAUGCUUCCACUUCUCUGAGCAUUUAAAAUAAGGCACUUUGUCUAGAAACCCACUGAUAAAAAAGGAAUUUGUAAACGAAGGCAGAAGUUUUCUUUGGUCAGUUUCCAGCUGUCCUGGAGGUGAAAGAGGGUGGGAGAGGGGGAGGAAGGUGGGAGGGAAGAAAACCCUCAAGCUGAAUGAAAUCCUAAUAGAGAAAAUAAUAGAGCAAGUCUGGAUUGCAAUGUGAUCUGUGCUGAACUUUAGAGGUCGGCCCCUUAAAGAAAGUUCUGGAAAAAUGUUAUUGCCUCAUCCCUAAUUUUCUUAACCCCCAUUAAUUUCUAUUCCGAAACAAUUCUAUAUAAUGAAAACAUCUCUUCUACAGGGUUUGUGAAAAAUAAACAUAAUCUCUUUUGUCCUCCUUUAAAGUUACAGUGGUUCCUGAACAAAUUCUUUUCUAAGUUAUACAUUUUGCAACAAUUCAAAAAUUGACUCAAGUUCUCUUUAGCAAAAUAUUUUAUUAUAAAAGAUUCCCUAAGUUUUCUUUUGUCAAAACAACUUACUUUAAAAAUUACCCUUCUGAUCACCCCAAAAUGUGUAUAAAGAAAACAUUAAGUAUUCUCAUAUAUUCAUGAUUAUUAGUUAAAAUAUAAACAGCAAGGAGAAAUUUAGCUACUUUCACUUAGAUGAUAUAGUAAAGUUAUCCUUUCAUUUUCUAUUGUGACUUGGAGAGUUCCAUAUUAAUUAUUUUUAGUAGAACAAAUGAGAUGUUAAAAAUCUAUAUAGUUUCUUUUACAUAAGAAAACUAAAAAAAGUAACUUAGAGGAGCUCAUUUUUUCAAGAAAUAUAUUUUUUCUAAUUGAUACAAUUACUGAAGAGGAAAAAUAGCUAACAAGGUACUUUGGUAAUGUUUUUCUCAAAUUUUCUGGGUUUUUUUUUUUUUUUUACUCUAGAAAUGAUUACAUUUCAAAAUUUGCUUUCAUUUAAUGUAUAUUUAAUUUCAAUUUCUUUCUUCAUGUUAAACGGUCUUUUUGUUUCAAAGAAAUGAAUCCCUAUGGGUCCCUCACCUAUUUUCUCCCUCAGGAUGACUUUUAGUCUGGAGAUAGAAGGGACAUAAGGGUGCCUCUGGCAUAAGUACAGGAGUAGAAAUAUAAGAAUUACUUUGUAAAAGGAUAACCAAGGAGUUCCUGCACAUGCUUGAUGUGGCUCUAGCGACUUAUUUUCGAGGCAAAGUUUUAACAAAUGAAAACGAAUAGUACUUAUUUUUCAAUUAUAUGGGCUAAAUUAAAGAUCAAAGGUAAAAGCUCAUUUUAUAAAGCUCUGCUGAAUGAAGGCAGGAUUGUAGUUUAUGCGCUGGUACACACGCCCACAUUUAUAUACAUUAUAGCCAUAUCUAUAUCCAGGUAAAUUAGAAAAAUGUUUAAUUUUAUUUUCAUAUUACUUUAUAAGGAGAUAUACAAAUAUUUUAGGGAUCAUGGAAUCUAUUCCAGAGGAAACUAACCAACAGUGAGCAUCUUCAACUAAAACUACCCCUGGAUGUAAUAAGUGUUGCAUGCAUCAUUCCUUUAAUUGAGCAGAGUUAACUGGAUCAAAUUAUUUAUGGGAGAGAGAGGAAAAGUUAUAAAGAAUUAUAGUAAUUUUUAAUUUCCACCAAUAUACUCUUUGUAAGUGAAUCACUCUAUAAUUACUUUCUGUUGCACUGAAUGCAGCAACAAUAACACAAUAGUAUUUUAAGGCACUGGUUUUUGGCAUACUCUAACCUUGUAAUUAUUUAAAUAACAGCCAAGUUUACUCAUGUUUUUGAUUCUGUCAAGAAAAAAAAAAAGUUCCUUUACUCGAAAGUGAUGGCCGAAACAGAAUCGGAAAUUUGUUUUCUUGAAAUUACAUAAAUACACAGAAAAUGGCACUUAUUAGCUUUUGUUAAAACAUUACCUUACCUAAUCACUGCAUAAAAGUCCAGAUUUGUAGAAAAUUGUAAUUUUCUCAGUAUCUAAAACUAUUUUGCUUUCCAUUAAGUUUCUAUUUGCUAUUUUCUCAGAAUUUUACAAUUAAAGAUAAAUCACAAACUGUUUGUUUUUCUUAAAGUUCUUUGAGAAAAUGUCUAAUUAUACAAUCCUUGGACAAUACUGUGUUUUUUUGGUGCUGUGUUUUUUAAGAAGUCCUACUUACUGGAAUUUUGACUAUUUGGAUAUUUUUGUUUUUAAAAGGGGAGGGGAAUUUGCUUAAUACUUCUAAAGAUGUGAAUUGAUAAUUGAUAUUAAAAUAGAAUUACUCUCAACUCACCAGAAUUAAAUUUUAUAUCUGCAUAUUUAACACUAUUAGCUCAUAUAAAUUAUAAGAAAAAUUUUCAAAGGAUCUGGUUUUAAUUUUUUGGAUAUGAAAUGAAUUUGCCUUUUCUGCCUUUUCUUAAGUACUAUUUUGUAACUAUAUUGCACUAACUAUAUCCAAAACACAUUCUGAGCAUCACUGUGAGUAACAGCCUUCCAGUUUGUACCCUUUUGAUUCACAGCAUGGCCCUAUAGUUAAUUAAGAGGUGGAUAACUUAAGCUCACAACUGCCUUUAAUUUGAUUUCACAUCCACAGUUAUAAACUUUGCAUUUAAAAGGAAAAUGAGACAUUUAAAUAGGUUCCUGUUGUUUCACAUAUAAUUGGUAAAAACAUAUUCCCUUGUAGGAUCCUAUUAUCAGAGCAUCAAAUACCAAAGUCAGCAACUUGGGUUGCCAAAUAAAUUAGGCUCAUUAAUUAUUUUGAAAAGGGCUGCUGUUUCCAUGUAAAUGAUAAUUUUCUUUUUCAUGGACAAGGUUAUGGUACUUAUCUACUAAAAGAAACAUGCAUAAACAUAGUUUUUAUCUUUAACUUCAGUAUUAAAAUAUGCAGUUUUUUGCAAAGAGGAAAAACAUCUGGUUCAAUUACGCUGAACUCUGACUACAUGUGGGCCAGUAAUAAUAUGAAUUGGACUUAAGAAUAAACCUUGUGUUUAAUCUCUUUUUUUCCUUAAAAUUUUAAUGUGAGUUUUCUGUUACGCAAAUUAUCCAUGUUAGCACAUUUGGAACAAAUGUAUAAAUGUACUUUCUGAAUAAAGUCAAAAGUCUAACUUGUUUUUAGUUCCAUAAUGUUUUAAUGUUUAAUUAUAUUGUGUAUUUUUCUCCCUUUCCCCUUACUCUCCAAAAUCACCAAAUCUGGAAAACAGGCUGAUUGUAUCUGUCUAUGAGCAAAGGAAACCUGAAGGAACCAAGGGCCUGGCUGGACAGAGUUGUCAUGUGUCUGCCUGUCUACACUUGCUGUGCAGAACAUCCGCUCACCUGUACAGCAGGCACAGACAGGCAGUCACAUGACAACCCAGCCUGAAUGACAACCAGCCAUUGAAAGAAAGCAGCCCUCACACCAUAGCAUCUACACCAAGAGCUACAACCAAAAUGAGGGGCUCGGGGGCCUGGGGUUUUAAUCUGUUGGUUUAAUACUUAACUCAUGUAUUAUUUUAUUUUGAUUCAAGUAUUAAAACCCACCAAAAGUAAAGUGAGUGGUGCCUAUGAAAUAUAAUAAAACCCAUUUCUGAAAAUGUUCCUGUGCAUUCUAUAGUUCUCUUUUCCUAAUUGUUGUCAGCAAAUCACUACCCUUGACCUUUAUUGUACACAGCUUUGCAGCACCCUAUAUUGAUAUAAAAACUCAAUAUAACAAAACAAUAUAACUUCAGUCUG
rnacentral:lncRNA from 1 species